AUCUCAACUUUGCUGUGGGUUGGUAUGUUAAAGAGGUGCAGCAGCUUUACGAGGGUUCAGUGGAAGGAGGGGAAAAACGAACAGAAGCAACGAGACCUGCUCAUAGAUUUCAAUAGCUUUCUGGUACUGCUCCAGCUGAGCUGCAUAGGUGGCC